rnacentral:rRNA from 1 species
UGGGGCCCGCACAAGCGGUGGAGCAUGUGGUUUAAUUCGACGCAACGCGCAGAACCUUACCAGCCCUUGACAUGUCCAGGACCGGUCGCAGAGAUGUGACCCUCUCUUCGGAGCCUGGAGCACAGGUGCUGCAUGGCUGUCGUCAGCUCGUGUCGUGAGAUGUUGGGUUAAGUCCCGCAACGAGCGCAACCCCCGUCCUUAGUUGCUACCAUUUAGUUGAGCACUCUAAGGAGACUGCCGGUGAUAAGCCGCGAGGAAGGUGGGGAUGACGUCAAGUCCUCAUGGCCCUUACGGGCUGGGCUACACACGUGCUACAAUGGCGGUGACAAUGGGAAGCAAAGGGGCAACCCCUAGCAAAUCUCAAAAAA